rnacentral:rRNA from 1 species
AGAUUGAACGCUGGCGGCAUGCCUUACACAUGCAAGUCGAACGGCAGCACGGGGGCAACCCUGGUGGCGAGUGGCGAACGGGUGAGUAAUGCAUCGGAACGUGCCCAGUAGUGGGGGGAUAACUAGUCGAAAGAUUAGCUAAUACCGCAUACGACCUAUGGGUGAAAGCGGGGGAUUCGCAAGAACCUCGCGCUAUCGGAGCGGCCGAUGUCUGAUUAGCUAGUUGGCGGGUAAA